rnacentral:sRNA from 1 species
CAGGGGCAGCUGACUGGGUGGGUUGUGGGAAGAGACCGGGGUCAACCAGGGUCUGCCUUGCCUCACUCCAGCGACCUCCGACCGGUCCCGGACAAUCAAGAAGUUUUCUGCCAUCCCGUGACGGACCAGAGCCUGAUAGUGGAACUUCUCGAGCUGCAGGCCCACGUGCGGGGCGAAGCGGCUGCGCGGUACCACUUUGAGGAUGUUGGUGGCGUGCAGGGGGCUAGGGCUGUCCAUGUGGAGUCUGUUCAGCCUCUCAGUUUGGAGAACCUGGCCCUGAGGGGCUGCUGUCAAGAAGCCUGGGUCCUCUCUGGCAAGCAGCAGAUAGCUAAGGAAAACCAGCAGGUAGCAAAGGACGUGACACUUCAUCAGGCCUUGCUGAGGCUGCCCCAGUACCAGACUGAUCUCUUGCUCACCUUCAAUCAGCCCCCGUAAGGAGGAAGGAACGGGCGGGUAUCUCAUGACUGGGUUCCCAGGAGAAUCGGGCUGGGAGGGACAAAACAGGGAGACUCACUGGUGGGAUCCUCCAAGGAAGCGGGAGUGGGCCAGAGGUUUGGGGUAACUGAUACCCAGGUCCUCUGGGGAACAGGAAUUGGCAAUUUCCAAACCUCAGGCCUGGAUGAUGUUCUGUCUCCAUCUGUUCCCCCACCCCAAGCCCUGACAACAGGUCAUCUCUUGGCCCUGAAAAUCUGUCACCUGCACCCUGGAGCCUGGGUGACUUUGAACAGCUGGUGACCAGUCUGACCCUUCAUGAUCCCAACAUCUUUGGUCCCCAGUAAAGGCG